rnacentral:lncRNA from 1 species
GUCGCAGAUGUCUGAGGCCGAAUAGGAGCGGAUGACUGAGAGGCUUGCUCAUUUCCGCCGUUUUGAUCCGCCGACCUUUGACGAUAGCUGCACGGAGCCCUGGGUUGUAGAGGGCUAGGUAAAUGCGAUGGAGAAGUUAUUCGAGAAUCUGUUCAUACCAGAGAGGGAGCAGGUACACUUGGGAGUGCACUGCUUGGCUGGCGAUGCGCAUUCUUGGUGGAGGAGGCUGAGGCGUGACCGAGGGUUUGUGGCAUUGCAGAGUCAGGAUAGGAAGUGCAUGGUUCCAGAUGACGGAGAAUAGUCGAGCAGCAGGCGUCCGCCGAGGCCUCCACGAUCACGCUCUCAGGGUCGUGGGUCUUCGGGGCGUUAGCG